rnacentral:lncRNA from 1 species
AUGUUUACUGGCUGGCCAGCAGCAGCAGUAUUUACCACAAAACAUGUUUACUGGCUGGCCAGCAGCAGUAUUUACCACAAAACAUGUUUACUGGCUGGCCAGCAGCAGUAUUUACCACAAAACACAUUUACUGGCUGGCCAGCAGCAGUAUUUACCACAAAACAUGUUUACUGGCUGGCCAGCAGCAGUAUUUACCACAAAACAUGUUUACUGGCUGGCCAGCAGCAGUAUUUACCACAAAACACAUUUACUGGCUGGCCAGCAGCAGUACUUACCACAAAACAUGUUUACUGGCUGGCCAGCAGCAGUAUUUACCACAAAACAUGUUUACUGGCUGGCCAGCAGCAGUACUUACCACAAAACAUGUUUACUGGCUGGCCAGCAGCAGUAUUUACCACAAAACAUGUUUACUGGCUGGCCAGCAGCAGUAUUUACCACAAAACAUGUUUACUGGCUGGCCAGCAGCAGUAUUUACCACAAAACAUGUUUACUGGCUGGCCAGCAGCAGUAUUUACCACAAAACAUGUUUACUGGCUGGCCAGCAGCAGCAGUAUUUACCACAAAACACAUUUACUGGCUGGCCAGCAGCAGUAUUUACCACAAAACAUGUUUACUGGCUGGCCAGCAGCAGCAGUAUUUACCACAAAACACAUUUACUGGCUGGCCAGCAGCAGUAUUUACCACAAAACAUGUUUACUGGCUGGCCAGCAGCAGUAUUUACCACAAAACAUGUUUACUGGCUGGCCAGCAGCAGUAUUUACCACAAAACAUGUUUACUGGCUGGCCAGCAGCAGCAGUAUUUACCACAAAACACAUUUACUGGCUGGCCAGCAGCAGUAUUUACCACAAAACAUGUUUACUGGCUGGCCAGCAGCAGCAGUAUUUACCACAAAACACAUUUACUGGCUGGCCAGCAGCAGUAUUUACCACAAAACAUGUUUACUGGCUGGCCAGCAGCAGUAUUUACCACAAAACAUGUUUACUGGCUGGCCAGCAGCAGUACUUACCACAAAACAUGUUUACUGGCUGGCCAGCAGCAGUAUUUACCACAAAACAUGUUUACUGGCUGGCCAGCAGCAGCUUCAACCAAACAUUUACAGGAAGGCUAUCUCAGCUCCGGUAGAUUCUGUCUAA